AUAUAUAUAUAUAUAUAUAUAUAUAUAAUGCUUUCACUUUACAGUGUCCGCAUUUCCAAUUUUUUUGUAAGUUCAGCAAAAGGUAAAAUUCUAUUUAAGUGCUCAUUAUUGUGUUCCAUACAAAAUAGUUUGCCCAGCGCCGGGCUAAGUUACAUGGGCGCCCCAGGCAACAGGUGCAUGUCCCUGCCUCUUCUUCCUACCCCUAGUUCUGGCCCUGGUUUUGCCUAAUUAUCCUGCUUUCUAUUCAGUCCCGGAUUUGUUGGAAGACCUAGGGGUGCAAGCUAUAGAAAUCCAGCCCUGUUUCUAUCUGACAUGGGGAUAAUUUUAAUAGUGAGUGCAAUGUUUUCUUAAGUCAUAGUCAACCAUAACAACCAAUCAACAAGUAUCAUCUACUGGUCUCCAAUUUAAAGCCAAAAUGUGAUUGGUUUGGCUACUAGAGUCUUGGGUCUGUUAUUAAAUCUGCUCCAUAUUCUCUAUGUAGCAGUUCACACAGCUGCUUGUACAGUCUGAGGGUUUGACCUGCUGAUCAAACUUUUUUUACCUGUUGCCUAUGUUUACUGGUUAGAUUAAUGCAACACUGUGUGGCAGUCAAAGGUGCCCACGUCAAGUGGGUGCUGUCACUUGCCAAGUUUGUGAGGUUCAGCAGGUGGGGGUUAAGGGCUGCCUUGUUUACUCUGGGAGAUAAACUGUAAUUGGUAGAAUGGUGUUCCUCUAACCCCCCCCCCUGCCAUGUACCUACUAGUUAACGUAUUGGGGACUGGGACACAGAUGCAGCUUUCUGGCAGAGCCUUACUAGGUGGUGUAAUUUGACCUGUGGUUAUAUUGGGGCUGGCAGGAUAAAGGAUCAGUGACAGAAGCCGUUCACAUACUGAAGCUGCUAACAUCCUCCCUGUAUCAAGACAGGUGGAGCCAGUUAUAAAGGUUGCCACAAACCCCAAAGUGCAGAAUUUGGCCAACUUGAACGGGCUGACCCAAUCUGAUUUGAACGAUUAUUUCUUUGAUGAUCA